UAUAUAUCUUCUCAAGGAUGUUGGCUCUCACACACGUGCACAAUAAAUUGCUAUUUACAGACUAAGAUAGCCCAAGACCUGCAACAUACCAACUGCUGCAUGGUCACUGAAGUUCUGACAUGUCAAUCACCAUGUUAAAUGCCGGAAUAGGUUUUUGCUUGUUUGUUUUGUUUCUGUUUUUAUUUUUCUGGGAACUUCGGUUAACUUCCAAGUCAGGCUAUUUAAUGAUGAGAAAAUGAAGACUCUCAGGAGACUGGAAACAGUGAGCAUGUUUUGGAAAGUGAAUGGGCCACAGCCCUAAGGAAGAAGAACAUGGCCAAGCAUAGGACAUUCAUAACAAGAACCAGUCCCAGCCGAGUCUGGAGAGGCCUUUAACCCAUCCAGAACAGAAGAGACACUAGGAGAUUACAAAUGCGAUGCAGAUUUGGACCAUAUCAUUGGCACUUCCAGCUCAAAGGGCCAAAGCCUGCUAGAUGGAAGACAUCUGCUGCUGGCUGUCAGCUGGGCACACAUUUAAAACAUUCUCCAGCUUUUCUCAUUGGGAACAAAAAUGUAACCGGAAGGCCAUGAAGAAGCCAAUAUUGAUUUUCUAAAGAAGUCAUUUUAUAUGGCCUGAAAAGGACCCAAAGCAAGAUUGGUCAAAGGAUGCUUGGAAUUGGAGAUGGCUGCUGCCUGAAUGGAGGAAACCUGGGAAGGAAUGAUUCUGACAGUAUACAAUGUGGAGUCACUUUGCAAAAAAAAAAUUCUCAUAUUUACUCAUU